AUGCACGCUGGCGGCGUGCCUAACACAUGCAAGUCGCACGGAGUCCAGCCUUUAAGACCUUCGGGUCAAAGAGGGGAAGACUGAGUGGCGGACGGGUGAGUAACACGUGGGCAACCUGGCUCAUAGAGGGGGAUAACAGAGAGAAAUUUCUGCUAAUACCGCAUAAGCACACACUGCCGCAUGGCAGAGGGUGAAAAGAGAAUCGCUAUGAGAUGGACCCGCGUCUGAUUAGCCAGUUGGCAGGGUAAGAGCCUACCAAAGCGACGAUCAGUAGCCGAUCUGAGAGGAAGGACGGCCACAUUGGGACUGAGACACAGCCCAAACUCCUACGGGAGGCAGCAGUGGGGGAUAUUGCACAAUGGGGGGAACCCUGAUGCAGCGACGCCGCGUGAGUGAAGAAGUAUUUCGGUAUGUAAAGCUCUAUCAGCAGGGAAGAUAAUGACAGUACCUGAAUAAGAAGCCCCGGCUAACUACGUG
rnacentral:rRNA from 1 species